rnacentral:rRNA from 1 species
GACGAACGCUGGCGGCGUGCUUAACACAUGCAAGUCGAAUGAAGUGGCGAACGGGUGAGUAACGUGUAAUCAACCUGCCCUUCAACGGGGGACAACAGUUGGAAACGACCGCUAAUACCGCAUACUGAAGGUGGGGAUUGCGUCUGAUUAGCAAGUUGGAGGGGUAACGGCCCACCAAGGCGAUUAUCAGUAGCCGGUCUGAGGUGAUGAGCGGCCAGAUUGGGACUGAUACACGGCCCAGACGCCUACGGGAGGCAGCAGUGGGGAAUCGUCCCCAAUGGACGUGAGUCUGACGGAGCAUCGCCGCGUGAGUGAUGACGGCCUUCGGGUGGUAAAGCUCUGUUAUUCGGGACGCGGUACCGGAAUAGAAAGCCACGGCUAACUACGUGCCAGCAGCCGCGGUAAUAC